GCAAGUCGAACGAGAAGAGAUGAGAAGCUUGCUCUAUAAUUCGAGUGGCAAACGGGUGAGUAACGCGUAAGCAACCUGCCCUUCAGAUGGGGACAACAGCUGGAAACGGCUGCUAAUACCGAAUACGUCUUUUGUCGCAUGGCAGAGGGAAGAAAGGGAGGCUCUUCGGAGCUUUCGCUGAUAGAUGGGCUCGCGUCCGAUUAGAUAGUUGGUGAGGUUAAACGGCCCACCAAGUCGACGAUCGGUAGCCGGACUGAGAGGUCGAACGGCCACAUUGGGACUGAGACACGGCCCAGACUCCUACGGGAGGCAGCAGUGGGGGAUAUUGCACAAUGGGGGAAACCCUGAUGCAGCGACGCCGCGUGAGGGAAGACGGUCCUCUGGAUUGUAAACCUCUGUCUUCGGGGACGAAACGAGACGGUACCCGAGGAGGAAGCCACGGCUAACUACGUG
rnacentral:rRNA from 1 species